rnacentral:lncRNA from 1 species
UGAAAGUUAAAAUGACCCACUUUACCCCCUUGACCGAUGUUUUGCAUUUCACUUUACCCCUUAUCGUUAAAUCUGUCAAAAAAUCUGUUAAAAAUACUGACAUAGGAUCAAUGGGACCCACAAUUUUGUUGAACUAAGUGCCAUGUGUGCAAAAAAAAUUAAAAAUAAAAAUAUAAAAAUAUAUAUUUUAAAAAACUUAAUUUAACUAUUAAAAAUAAAAAUAAAAAAAAUCCUCAAUUCUCCUCCUCUCUCUUCUUCCCUCUCAUACUCAAAACCCAGCCUCCUCCGUGAACCAAAACUACGGCACCCAUCUUCUAACCCAAAUCAUCAUUACCCUUCUCAAAACCUUACUGUGCACCAUGACCACCCCUCUCUCUCUCUCUCUCUCUCUCUCUCUCUCUCUCUCUCUUCUUGGACCAGUAAAAAAUCCUUGUAUGAUACAACUGUUGAAGAAUACACGAGUCCCACAUCGGAAACUUAACAAAAUAGAAAGUCUCAUAUAAUAAAUGGUUCCACUCCUAAUAAUACCGAGACCUUUUGUGAUAAAACCCCACAUCUACUGGGCUUUGUAGGUGGUUAAGUUGGGACAAUAUCGGUGUUGUUAGUAGUGGGCCACUGGGCCGUCUUUCUAAAUUUAACAUGGUAUCAGAGCGGGUUGGUUGACUG